GAUGAACGCUGGCGGUAUGCUUAACACAUGCAAGUCGAACGGACUCUUCGGAGUUAGUGUCGGACGGGUGAGUAACGCGUGAGAAUCUGGCUUUGGGUUCGGGACAACCACUGGAAACGGUGGCUAAUACCGGAUGUGCCGAGAGGUAAAAGAGAAAUUGCCUGAAGAUGAGCUCGCGUCUGAUUAGCUAGUUGGUGAGGUAAAGGCUCACCAAGGCAGCGAUCAGUAGCUGGUCUGAGAGGAUGACCAGCCACACUGGGACUGAGACACGGCCCAGACUCCUACGGGAGGCAGCAGUGGGGAAUUUUCCGCAAUGGGCGAAAGCCUGACGGAGCAAUACCGCGUGAGAGAAGAAGGCUCUUGGGUUGUAAACCUCUUUUCUUAGGGAAGAACAAAAUGACGGUACCUAAGGAAUCAGCAUCGGCUAACUCCGUG
rnacentral:rRNA from 1 species